GGGCGUGUAGUCUAGUCUGGUAGGAUACCAGCUUUGGGAGCUGGCGACCUCGGUUCAAAUCCGGGCACGCCCA
rnacentral:tRNA from 1 species